rfam:Schistosoma rodhaini strain Burundi genome assembly, scaffold: SROB_scaffold0000082
GCACUGCUGAAGAGUCCCAUGCUAGGACAAAACGGCCGUCCAGUGC